CGAAAGCCUGACGGAGCAACGCCGCGUGAGGGAUGAAGGCCUCUGGGCUGUAAACCUCUUUUAUCAAGGAAGAAGAUCUGACGGUACUUGAUGAAUAAGCCACGGCUAAUUCCGUGCCAGCAGCCGCGGUAAUACGGGAGUGGCAAGCGUUAUCCGGAAUUAUUGGGCGUAAAGCGUCCGCAGGCGGUCUUGUAAGUCUGUUGUCAAAGCGUGGAGCUUAACUCCAUUUCGGCAAUGGAAACUGCAAGACUAGAGUGUGGUAGGGGCAGAGGGAAUUCCCGGUGUAGCGGUGAAAUGCGUAGAUAUCGGGAAGAACACCAGUGGCGAAG
rnacentral:rRNA from 1 species